UCACGUCAUGCAUUCUCUUUGCAUAGACACACAGAGCUGUCACACCUCUAGAAAGCAGUAGUGUGGGAAAUCAGGAGAGAGCACGUGUGUGUGUGUGAGAGAGAGUUUACAACAGAGGGACAGAGGGCUUCCUGAAGUAUCCUGAUGAGAUGGUUUUGCCUGAGGCUAAUGACUGAUAUGGAAUUACCUUCAGGUGUCUUCAAAACCAGUGACCACAGCAAAUAUGACCAUGCGGAUGACCGGGCGAACAGCAGAACUCAGUUGGCUAACAUAAUCCUAAUUGACAAUGAGGAC